UUGCAGGUAACCCAAGAAAUUUUAAAUGAAUCCCUAACCAAUCACAGUUAGGCAUCAAUUUGAAAUUAAUUCCUAACCAAUCACAGUUAGGCAUCAAUUUCCUCCGCUCUACCCUCUUGUGGGAAAGACGAAGACCUCCCACCCGUUCCACUCCACUCCAGCAGCCAUUAUACUGUCUGCGCGGGCACUGGCCUGCACAACUUUCAACAUCUGGAUAUACCUGCUGUGGAAGGUGAGUGAACAGAGGGCAGGCAUCAACAGUUGAGGAAAUGUCCUUGAUAAAUCUCUCAACUGCCUGGAGGAAAAGCAGAUACCGAUUAAUAGCUUGUCCAAUGAUGGAGAAAUACAUUUAAAGGACAAUGGGAAAAGGAUCAUGGAGAAGUUGAUGACAAAGGAGGUAAUGGCCAGUUUCAAUAUGAAGGGCGGGAAAGGAACAUCUUUACAAUGUUGUCACAGAGUGUCUAGAGGACUUCAAAGGAGACGGAGGCAAACAUUGGAGCGGCUGUCGCCGUAUGUUUAAAAUAUGCCCCAGACAGGCAGGGGCGGAGGUUGCAGGAAAAAAAAAUUGUACGAUUUUAGAAUAAGGAUAAUAAUGUUAAGUAUAAAUGGUUGAAAACCUUCUGUUAAAAUAAUGUAAAAAAAAAAAAAGAAUAAAAUAAAAGGUUAUUUUAUAAUCCAUUUAAUUUCUUUGUCAUUUAUCUAAUAAACAUCAUUUGUGGAUUACAGUUCACUAAAAAUUAAAUUACUUUUCUGUUUGCUCUUGUCUUAAGAUAAAUACUUUUGGGUUGUCUUGCAUUGGAUCUUGACCUCUGUUCGAACCUUGUUGUUACAUGAAGUUUCUUUUGAUGAAACUUCAUGUAGUUUUAUGUCAUGCCAACAAAAUUACCAUAUAUUUCUUUAAAGUUGGAAUUUGACAGCUUAAUGUUGUGUUUUGACAGAUAUCUGACAUCAAAAAUUCAUUGUCUGUCCACGGUUGGACGUCAGCCCAACAUGUGAGUUUGAUGUUUAGCUUAACAUUGGGGUCUGACACUUAAAACUGAUUCAUUUUCAACCAAAAGGCAAUGUCCAACGUUGGAGGUUUACCCAGCAC